rnacentral:rRNA from 1 species
GACGAACGCUGGCGGCGUGCUUAACACAUGCAAGUCGAACGAAGAGCGAUGGAAGCUUGCUUCUAUCAAUCUUAGUGGCGAACGGGUGAGUAACGCGUAAUCAACCUGCCCUUCAGAGGGGGACAACAGUUGGAAACGACUGCUAAUACCGCAUACGAUCUAACCUCGGCAUCGAGGAUAGAUGAAAGGUGGCCUCUACAUGUAAGCUAUCACUGAAGGAGGGGAAUGCGUCUGAUUAGCUAGUUGGAUGGGUAACGGCCCACCAAGGCGAUGAUCAGUAGCCGGUCUGAGAGGAUGGACGGCCACAUUGGGACUGAGACACGGCCCAGACUCCUACGGGAGGCAGCAGUGGGGAAUCUUCCGCAAUAGACGAAAGUCUGACGGAGCAACGCCGCGUGAGUGAUGACGGCCUUCGGGUUGUAAAGCUCUGUUAAUCGGGACGAAAGGCCUUCUUGCGAAUAGUUAGAAGGAUUGACGGUACCGGAAUAGAAAGCCACGGCUAACUACGUG